rnacentral:rRNA from 1 species
UACAGAGGGUGCAAGCGUUGUUCGGAAUUAUUGGGCGUAAAGGGCUCGUAGGCGGUCUGUUGCGUCGGGAGUGAAAACUCAGGGCUUAACCCUGAGCCUGCUUCCGAUACGGGCAGACUAGAGGUAUGCAGGGGAGAACGGAAUUCCUGGUGUAGCGGUGAAAUGCGCAGAUAUCAGGAGGAACACCGGUGGCGAAGGCGGUUCUCUGGGAAU